GGAUGUGAGGGUGAUCUGGCUGUGACAUCUGUCACCCUUUGAUCACCAGGGUUGAUUCUGCUGAUCUGGCUGGCUAGGCGGGUGUCCCCCCCCCCAUGCGUGUGUGUCCCUCCCCAAGCUGCACACGCUCGAGCUCUCAAAGAGAAGGACCUUCCCUCCAGAGGAGAGAACCAGUCAAGGGUAUACAAGUACCUGUGCUCCCCUGCCAGAACCUCCAAACAAGCUCUCAAUUGUUUAAAGUCUUUAAAUGGUUCCAAAAACAUUGUUUAAAUUUAUUAACUACUUAUGUAAACAAUUUCUCAAU
rnacentral:snRNA from 1 species